UACGUAGGGUGCGAGCGUUGUCCGGAAUUACUGGGCGUAAAGAGCUUGUAGGUGGUUUGUCGCGUUGUUCGUGAAAUCUCACGGCUUAACUGUGAGCGUGCGGGCGAUACGGGCAGACUAGAGUACUGCAGGGGAGACUGGAAUUCCUGGUGUAGCGGUGAAAUGCGCAGAUAUCAGGAGGAACACCGGUGGCGAAGGCGGGUCUCUGGGCCGAUACUGACGCUGAGGUGCGAAAGCGUGGGGAGCAAACAGG
rnacentral:rRNA from 1 species